CUCUUCUUCCUUCUGGGUUCUUUGGUUGGUCUAAUAAUUAAAUUGACACAAGACAGAUUAGCAGGAGAAAAAUAAAUUUAAUUACGAACAUGCAGGAGCCCCAUAUAGACACAACCAGCUGUUUGACAGGGAACAGAGGUUUAUAUGCCAUCCUGAGGUUAGUUUCUCCUACAGUCCUUGUGGCUUGAAUGCAUCCCCUGGCUGUAGCUGCUGCAUGAUGAUUGUCUGAACUCUCAGCUACUGCCUGCCUAUGGAAUGGACGAGCUAUUGACUUAAUCUUCAUAAGGCUUUGAACGUAGCCGAAUCCUCUGGCUUGAGGAUUGUCAUGAUUUUAUUGCUGUUGCUAUUGUAUUAUUAGUCUGGUCACAAUGCUCCAGUUUCCUCACCCAGAGACCAUUGCGGAAGAAGGGAAAUGAGUAGACAAGGAGCUAGGCAUGAUACAAGGAAUCAAGACAGAGAAAGAGUCAUAUGGAAAGAGGCCUGAAGAGUCUUGGACAUUUCAGCCCCCAUGGAGCUCCCAAAAGAAACAUCCAGCUGAGCCAAGCCAACCCACAGAAU